AGAGCUCUGGGGCUGUGCAGUGCAAUGAGUCUGACAGUGGUGGGAUGAGGCUGGGACCCCCCCCAGCCUUGGGGGUGCGAGGCACCUCCUGGCCAGGUGGCUGCUGCUUGUGGUUGCUGCAGAGCUCGUUUAGGAUGUGGUGUCUGUCCUAAGCCUGAACCACUUGGACAGAGGAAAGAGAGGAAUGCUCAACCCAACCUCCUCCCUUCUAUCUGGGGCAAAAAAAGCACGUUGGAGAGGAGCCCUGAAGCAUUCGGAUCUCUGAAAGGCGAAGUGCUAUCCAGUUGCUGUGCAGAUUUGUCAACUGCUUCAAGCAGGAAAUUACUUCGUGUCUUGAAAACCCUCCAAGCACCUGUAACACUGCGAGCAUGGGGGAGCUGCUGUCUGCUGGCCUGGGCUCAGUGAGCCGGGGCUGAGCUGCUGGGUAGGGCCCAUCCCUCGGUGUCCUUGGAGGUGGGGGUCUCUUGGUGCUGUGUUAGGGGUCCUGAGUUCAUGUUCGGUGAGCAAUGCGUGCGGCACUGCAUCUCUCUGUGACUCUCCCUGCAUUUCUGUAGGUCCUACCAAAGCACACCAAGGGCAAAAGAAGAUGCUCCGUGUUCAGCCAUGGCAUGGGGAGGGGGGGCUCCGAGCAAUCAGGGGUGGCACGGGGAGGGAUGAGGUGGCCGUGCUGUGUCAGCAGUGCCAGCGUUGUGUGAAGGGUGAUCUGGUGCUGCUGAGAGCUGCUGGCUGCUCGGACACAGUGAUGCAUUGCUCCGGCUCAACGGGAUCUUCCUCCCCCCUCUGACAGCUGUGCGAUCGAUCACGACCGUGUGCAAAAACAUAAACUGCAUCAAAGCCACUUGGCAACUUGACUAACCAGGUUCAUAAAUUAAUUUCUAUCCCUCUUGUAAGGGAGAAAUCAGCUGCUCCUCGAGGAGAUCCGUCUCCAUCGCUCGUCCGGCUGCAUCCCUUCAUAAAUCUUCCCCAAAAAAACAUCAGCACCUUCUCAGGCUGCCAUCUGUUUAUUUGGUUGGACUUGGAACUUGCUGAAAUGUCUUUCGAUGGAUGAAGCAACGGAGAGUAGAAGAACAGAGCCUGGCAGGCUGCUUGCUGUGCCAGGGAACCACCAAGCUUCCUGGUACCCCGUGUUGGCUGAGAGGCAAUGAGGUUAAGGAAAGCAUAACUUCCAUCAGGAAUUCUUGUAAAGAAAAUCUCCUGGAUGGAAUCUGGAGAUCUGAAGACAUAUUUCUGCUCUCCUGGCCACCUAUGAACAGGAUGAUGGCGUUACAGCUGCCUGCGCAUCCUUGGGUGGAUCUUCAGUGUUCCUGAGCAGAUUUCACCUGUACUAUUGGUCUACCAUGUGUUUGGAAUUAGCGCCGCGGUUGCAGGGGGAGAAGGCAGCUGGGUUUCUCCGGAGCAUUUCAGUGCUUAAUCUCUGAAGAAUGCAGAAUGUCUGUCUGGAUGCCCCGGCCAAGAUCAACUCCGCGGCACGGGGAGGCCAAUAUAAACGUUCAUGUUUUGUG
rnacentral:lncRNA from 7 species